rnacentral:rRNA from 1 species
AGGGUUUGAUCCUGGCUCAGAACGUACGCUGGCGGCACGCCUAAUACAUGCAAGUCGAACGAAGUAGCAAUACUUAGUGGCAGACGGGUGAGUAACAUGUAGGUAUCUACCCUUUGGCCUGGAAUAACACGAGGAAACUUGUGCUAAUACCGGAUAAGUCUUUACGGAGAAAGCUUUAUGCACCAUUGGAUGAGCCUGCACUUGAUUAGUUUGUUGGUGGGGUAAUGGCCUACCAAGACAAUGAUCAAUAGCUGAUUUGAGAGGAUGAUCAGCCACAUUGGGACUGAGACACGGCCCAAACUCCUACGGGAGGCAGCAGUAGGGAAUCUUGCACAAUGGAGGAAACUCUGAUGCAGCGAUGCCGCGUGAGUGAAGAAGGCCUUUGGGUUGUAAAGCUCUUUCGUCGGGGAAGAAAAUGACUGUACCCGAAUAAGAAGGUCCGGCUAACUUCGUGCCAGCAGCCGCGGUAAUACGAAGGGACCUAGCGUAGUUCGGAAUUACUGGGCUUAAAGAGUUCGUAGGUGGUUAAAAAAGUUGGUGGUGAAAUCCCAGAGCUUAACUCUGGAACUGCCAUCAAAACUUUUUAGCUAGAGUAUGAUAGAGGAAAG